rnacentral:rRNA from 1 species
GAUGAACGCUGGCGGCGUGCCUAAUACAUGCAAGUCGAGCGAACAGAUGAGGAGCUUGCUCCUCUGACGUUAGCGGCGGACGGGUGAGUAACACGUGGAUAACCUACCUAUAAGACUGGGAUAACUUCGGGAAACCGGAGCUAAUACCGGAUAAUAUAUUGAACCGCAUGGUUCAAUAGUGAAAGACGGUUUUGCUGUCACUUAUAGAUGGAUCCGCGCCGCAUUAGCUAGUUGGUAAGGUAACGGCUUACCAAGGCGACGAUGCGUAGCCGACCUGAGAGGGGGAUCGGCCACACUGGAACGGAGAAACGGUCCAGACUCCUACGGGAGGCAGCAGUAGGGAAUCUUCCGCAAUGGGCGAAAGCCUGACGGAGCAACGCCGCGUGAGUGAUGAAGGUCUUCGGAUCGUAAAACUCUGUUAUUAGGGAAGAACAAAUGUGUAAGUAACUAUGCACGUCUUGACGGUACCUAAUCAGAAAGCCACGGCUAACUACGU